rnacentral:rRNA from 1 species
UACGGAGGGUGCAAGCAUUAAUCGGAAUUAUUGGGCGUAAAGGGCGCGUAGGCGGAUUUGUAAGUCAGAUGUGAAAUUCCGAAACUCAAUUUCGGAGCUGCAUUUGAAACUGCAAGUCUUGAGGGAUGGCGGAGAAAACGGAAUUCCACGUGUAGCGGUGAAAUGCGUAGAUAUGUGGAAGAACACCUGUGGCGAAAGCGGUUUUCUAGCUAUGACCUGACGCUGAGGCGCGAGAGCAAGGGGAGCAAACAGG